AAAUUAGACGAGAAAACAAAUCUAUUCUAUAUUUUUAAUAUCCCCAUUGUUUUUCUUUCAAGCAAUUCGAAGAGACGUUAUAAUAUUUGAAGUACUACCCUUAAACAAAGAAAACAGAAUACUCCUCGGUGUUAGGGUAAUGAAAUCAAGAUGUCCUAGAGCUAUGUCCGAUGAAUGUCCGAAUUUUCCUCCGCUAUGCCUUGUUGUCCGAGAGCUAGGCCUGCAAAAGAGAGAGAAGGUAUACUGCCCCGGGGGUGUGACCCGGGAAAGCCCCUCCGAUGCUUAAGUCAACGAAUGUACUUUCUAGAGAGAGAAAGUAAAGAGAGAAAGAGUACUUUAGAGAGAGAAAGUAGAGAGAGAAGAUUAGAGAAUUAGGAAAAAGUUACCAUCAAUUAAUUAUUGGAGAGCUAUUUAUAGAUGUACAUUCAUGUGGCAGAAGUUGUACUUGUUUGGACAGAUCAGGGGUAAAUUCGUACUUUACUA